AACGAACGCUGGCGGCAUGCCUAACACAUGCAAGUCGAACGAGACCUUCGGGUUUAGUGGCGCACGGGUGCGUAACGCGUGGGAACCUGCCCUUAGGUUCGGAAUAACUCCCCGAAAGGGGUGCUAAUACCGGAUAAUGUCUUCGGACCAAAGAUUUAUCGCCUUUGGAUGGGCCCGCGUUGGAAUAGCUAGUUGGUAGGGUAAAAGCCUACCAAGGCGACGAUCCAUAGCUGGUCUGAGAGGAUGAUCAGCCACACUGGGACUGAGACACGGCCCAGACUCCUACGGGAGGCAGCAGUGGGGAAUAUUGGACAAUGGGCGAAAGCCUGAUCCAGCAAUGCCGCGUGAGUGAUGAAGGCCUUAGGGUUGUAAAGCUCUUUUACCCGGGAUGAUAAUGACAGUACCGGGAGAAUAAGCUCCGGCUAACUCCGUG
rnacentral:rRNA from 1 species